GCCAGGCGUGGUGGUGCAUGCCUGUAAUCCCAGCUACUCGGGAGGCUGAGGCAGGAGAAUCACUUGAACCCGGGAGGUGGAGGUUGUAGUGAGCAGAGAUGGCACCACUGCACUCCAGCCUGGGUGACAGAGUGAGACUCUGUCUCAA
ensembl:misc_RNA Metazoa_SRP Metazoan signal recognition particle RNA